CGCGUAGGCGGCUCGGAAAGUCGGUCGUGAAAUGCCGGGGCUCAACCCCGGGACUGCGUCCGAUACUCCCGAGCUGGAGGCAGGUAGGGGAGAUCGGAAUUCCUGGUGUAGCGGUGAAAUGCGCAGAUAUCAGGAGGAACACCGGUGGCGAAGGCGGAUCUCUGGGCCUUGCCUGACGCUGAGGCGCGAAAGCUAGGGGAGCGAACAGGAUUAGAUACCCUGGUAGUCCUAGCCGUAAACGUUGGGUGCUAGGUGUGGGCGGAUAUCGACCCCGUCCGUGCCGAAGCUAACGCAUUAAGCACCCCGCCUGGGGAGUACGGCCGCAAGGCUAAA
rnacentral:rRNA from 1 species